UGUUCUGUGGUUUAGUUGAAUAAAGCGCCGGUCUAGCGAUUACGGAUUCGUGGGUUCGAUUCCCACCAGAGCGG
rnacentral:tRNA from 1 species